rnacentral:rRNA from 1 species
UCCUACGGGGGGCAGCAGUAGGGAAUUUUCGUCAAUGGGCGCAAGCCUGAACGAGCAAUGCCGCGUGAACGAGGAAGGUCUUCGGAUCGUAAAGUUCUGUUGCAGGGGAAAAAGAGCGGAGAGAGGAAAUGGUCUCCGAUUGAUAUUACCCUUCGAGGAAGUCACGGCUAACUACGUGCCAGCAGCCGCGGUAAUACGUAGGUGGCGAGCGUUAUUCGGAAUGAUUGGGCGUAAAGGGUGCGUAGGCGGCCUGCUAAGUCUGGAGUGAAAGGUACCGGCUCAACCGGUACAGGCUCUGGAAACUG